rnacentral:rRNA from 1 species
AGUGAACGCUGGCGGUAGGCCUGACACAUGCCAGUCGAACGGCAGCACAGUAAGAGCUUGCUCUUACGGGUGGCGAGUGGCGGACGGGUGAGGAAUACAUCGGAAUCUACUUUUUCGUAGGGGAUAACGUAGGGAAACUUACGCUAAUACCGCAUACGACCUACGGGUGAAAGCAGGGGAUCUUCGGACCUUGCGCGAUUGAAUGAGCCGAUGUCGGAUUAGCUAGUUGGCGGGGUAAAGGCCCACCAAGGCGACGAUCCGUAGCUGGUCUGAGAGGAUGAUCAGCCACACUGGAACUGAGACACGGUCCAGACUCCUACGGGAGGCAGCAGUGGGGAAUAUUGGACAAUGGGCGCAAGCCUGAUCCAGCCAUACCGCGUGGGUGAAGAAGGCCUUCGGGUUGUAAAGCCCUUUUGUUGGGAAAGAAAAGCAGCAGGUUAAUACCCCGCUGUUCUGACGGUACCCAAAGAAUAAGCACCGGCUAACUUCGUG